UGCGCAGGUGGCCAAGUGUGUCAGGUGUGAAAUCCCGGGGCUUAACUCCGGAACUGCGCCUGAAACUGCUUGGCUAGAGCAUUGGAGAGGGAAGUGGAAUUCACGGUGUAGCAGUGAAAUGCGUAGAUAUCGUGAGGAACACCAGAGGCGAAGGCGACUUCCUGGACAAUUGCUGACACUCAGGCACGAAAGCGUGGGUAGCCAAAG
rnacentral:rRNA from 1 species